rnacentral:rRNA from 1 species
UACGUAGGGUGCGAGCGUUGUCCGGAAUUAUUGGGCGUAAAGAGCUCGUAGGCGGUUUGUCGCGUCGGCCGUGAAAACUUGGGGCUUAACUCCAAGCUUGCGGUCGAUACGGGCAGACUUGAGUUCGGCAGGGGAGACUGGAAUUCCUGGUGUAACGGUGAAAUGCGCAGAUAUCAGGAGGAACACCGGUGGCGAAGGCGGGUCUCUGGGCCGAUACUGACGCUGAGGAGCGAAAGCGUGGGGAGCGAACAGG